rnacentral:rRNA from 1 species
GUGAGGAAUAUUGGUCAAUGGGCGGGAGCCUGAACCAGCCAAGUCGCGUGAAGGAAGAAGGAUCUAUGGUUCGUAAACUUCUUUUGCAGGGGAAUAAAGUGCAGGACGUGUCCUGUUUUGUAUGUACCCUGAGAAUAAGGAUCGGCUAACUCCGUGCCAGCAGCCGCGGUAAUACGGAGGAUCCGAGCGUUAUCCGGAUUUAUUGGGUUUAAAGGGUGCGUAGGUGGUUUGAUAAGUCAGCGGUGAAAGUUUGCAGCUUAACUGUAAAAAUGCCGUUGAAACUGUCGGACUUGAGUGUAAAUGAGGUAGGCGGAAUAUGUGGUGUAGCGGUGAAAUGCAUAGAUAUCACGCAGAACUCCGAUUGCGAAGGCAGCUUACUAAGCUACAACUGACACUGAAGCACGAAAGCGUGGGGAUCAAACAGGAUUAGAUACCCUGGUAGUCC